rnacentral:rRNA from 1 species
UACAGAGGGUGCGAGCGUUAAUCGGAUUUACUGGGCGUAAAGCGUGCGUAGGCGGCUUUUUAAGUCGGAUGUGAAAUCCCCGAGCUUAACUUGGGAAUUGCAUUCGAUACUGGGAAGCUAGAGUAUGGGAGAGGAUGGUAGAAUUCCAGGUGUAGCGGUGAAAUGCGUAGAGAUCUGGAGGAAUACCGAUGGCGAAGGCAGCCAUCUGGCCUAAUACUGACGCUGAGGUACGAAAGCAUGGGGAGCAAACAGGAUUAGAUACCCCCGUAGUCC